GAUAACCUUGCGAAAGUAAGACUAAUACCCAAUGACGUCUCUAGAAGACAUCUGAAAGAGAUUAAAGAUUUAUCGGUGAUGGAUGGGGAUGCGUCUGAUUAGCUUGUUGGCGGGGUAACGGCCCACCAAGGCGACGAUCAGUAGGGGUUCUGAGAGGAAGGUCCCCCACAUUGGAACUGAGACACGGUCCAAACUCCUACGGGAGGCAGCAGUGAGGAAUAUUGGUCAAUGGGCGAGAGCCUGAACCAGCCAAGUAGCGUGCAGGAUGACGGCCCUAUGGGUUGUAAACUGCUUUUAUAAGGGAAUAAAGUGAGUCUCGUGAGGCUUUUUGCAUGUACCUUAUGAAUAAGGACCGGCUAAUUCCGUGCCAGCAGCCGCGGUAAUACGGAAGGUCCGGGCGUUAUCCGGAUUUAUUGGGUUUAAAGGGAGCGUAGGCCGGAGAUUAAGCGUGUUGUGAAAUGUAGACGCUCAACGUCUGCACUGCAGCGCGAACUGGUUUCCUUGAGUACGCACAAAGUGGGCGGAAUUCGUGGUGUAGCGGUGAAAUGCUUAGAUAUCACGAAGAACUCCGAUUGCGAAGGCAGCUCACUGGAGCGCAACUGACGCUGAAGCUCGAAAGUGCGG
rnacentral:rRNA from 1 species